UCCGUAGGGGGAACCUGCGGAGGGAUCAUUGCUGGAACGCGCCCCAGGCGCACCCAGAAACCCUUUGUGAACUUAUACCUUACUGUUGCCUCGGCGCAUGCCGGCCCCUAGGGGCCCCUCGGAGACGAGGAGCAGGCACGCCGGCGGCCAAGUUAACUCUUGUUUUUACACUGAAACUCUGAGAAAAAAACAAAAUGAAUCAAAACUUUCAACAACGGAUCUCUUGGUUCUGGCAUCGAUGAAGAACGCAGCGAAAUGCGAUAAGUAAUGUGAAUUGCAGAAUUCAGUGAAUCAUCGAAUCUUUGAACGCACAUUGCGCCCUCCGGUAUUCCGGAGGGCAUGCCUGUUCGAGCGUCAUUUCAACCCUCAAGCAUUGCUUGGUGUUGGGGCACUGCCUGUAAAAGGGCAGGCCCUGAAAUUCAGUGGCGAGCUCGCCAGGACCCCGAGCGCAGUAGUUAAACCCUCGCUCUGGAAGGCCCUGGCGGUGCCCUGCCGUUAAACCCCCAACUCUUGAAAAUUUGACCUCGGAUCAGGUAGGAAUACCCGCUGAACUUAAGCAUAUCAAUAAGCGGAGGA
rnacentral:rRNA from 1 species